GACGAACGCUGGCGGCGUGCUUAACACAUGCAAGUCGAACGGAAAGGCCCUGCUUUUGUGGGGUGCUCGAGUGGCGAACGGGUGAGUAACACGUGAGUAACCUGCCCUUGACUUUGGGAUAACUUCAGGAAACUGGGGCUAAUACCGGAUAGGAGCUCCUGCUGCAUGGUGGGGUUUGGAAAGUUUCGGCGGUUGGGGAUGGACUCGCGGCUUAUCAGCUUGUUGGUGGGGUAGUGGCUUACCAAGGCUUUGACGGGUAGCCGGCCUGAGAGGGUGACCGGGCACAUGGGGACUGAGAUACGGACCAGACGCCUACGGGAGGCAGCAGGGGGGAAUAUUGCACAAUGGGCGGAAGCGUGAGGCAGCAACGCCGCGUGCGGGAUGACGGCCUUCGGGUUGUAAACCGCUUUCGCCUGUGACGAAGCGUGAGUGACGGUAAUGGGUAAAGAAGCACCGGCUAACUACGUG
rnacentral:rRNA from 1 species